GCCGCUCCCUGGACGGUCGCGGUUGAGUCGGGUAACUGGCUUGGCUGAGGAAAGUCCGGACGCCAAAGGACAGCGCGCCUUGUGAAAACGAGGGAUGAUUGGUUAAAGCCAAUUAGACGGAAAGUGCAGCAGAAAAUAAACCGCCCGCUAAGGUCUCGGCCAAGGUGGGUAAGGGUGAAAUGGUGGAGUAAGAGCCCACCGCUCCAAGGGUAACCGAGGAGGCAUGGUAAACCCCGCGCGGCGCAAGACACAACAGGAGAAGGGUUGUCCGCCCGAUUAGAAUCUCCGGGUAUUAGUCGCACCAUCCCGCAAGGGAGGUGCUCAAUUCAUCUUAGGGUGGGUUGAGUAAGAUAAAUGACCGUCCAGUCCUAAGCCCUUAUGGGGUGCAGGAUGGACAGAAUCCGGCUUACAGGGGAGCGGCACUU
rnacentral:RNase_P_RNA from 1 species